rnacentral:lncRNA from 1 species
CUCACCUGCUCCUGCCACUUCACCUGAAGUCCUUAUCCUGUGACGUCACAGUCAGUUGCCAUAGUGACCAAUUGUCCGUCACAAGCAGAGGAUUAGGACUUCGGAUGGAGAAGACACACAUUUACGAUGCACAAAGGUCCUGGGAGGUCUCCCUUGGCAGUUAACUCUACCCACCAGGAAGAUCCAGUCACACACAAGCAGGGAGGGAAAAAGGGAAGAAUGAACAGGGUUGACUGGAGGAGACAUUAGGAUGGGGCAAGACUACAAGUACAGCAUAAUUUCAAAAGCACAGAGCAACCAGAUGAGGGGGAGUGGCAGGGAUGUGCUUGGAAAGACCGGAAGGAGAGUAAGCUCCUGAAGGGACCUGAAUGCUAAGCUCAGGAGCUUGACCUUCAUCCUAAAAUAAAAGGCAGCCCAAAAAGUUUCUGGAGAGUGACUGAGCUGGGCUUUAUGAUUAUCUUGAUGGACUGAACACAGGGAGGUCAGGGUAGUUGAGCAUUAAUGGGACCCUAAAUAAGGGUAAAAAUGGAAAAAAGCAAAAGAAGACUCAUUUCAAAGAGAACUGACAGGACACAAGCAAAUUAGGAUGUUGGGGCUAGUGGUGGUGUGUGAAGAACAAGGAAUCAAGUGGAGGGGCUGUCAUGAACAGAGAGACAGGGCCUUACUAUGUUGCCCAGGCUGGUGUUGAACUCCUGACCUCAGGAUAUGUGACCAUAUUCCACUGAUCAAAAACCUUCAAUGGCUCCCCACUGUCCACAGAAUAGCUUAAUCAAGAUCCUUCACAAUUUGGCCCUAAAUUUCCUUUCUGAACAGAAUCCCCACUUCUCUCCUUCAAGCAUCCCAUACUCCAGCCAAAAUUAACUCCCUCCUGUUUCUAAUAUUUGCCUUCCCCUCCCCUGCGUGUGCCUCAUCCUAACACUAUUCCCUACCUGGGAGUCCCUUGCACAUUUUUCUGACUCUGCCUGGUUCCUCUACAGCUAUUCCUACUUGGUGUCACCUACAGAUUCAAACCACCCAAUUUCCCCAGACAGAACCUAAAACAGGGGUCAGAAAACCACAGACUGCCUGUUCUUGUAAAUAAAGAAUACAGUAAUGCCCAUUCAUUUCCAUAUUGUCUAUGGCUGCCUUCUGCUUUUCUGCUACAAUGGUAGAGCUAAGUAGUUGUAACAGAGACUGUAUGACCCACAAAGCCUAAAAUAUUUACUAUCUAGCCUUGUGCAGAAAGUUUAUGACAUCUGGCCUAAAGCAACAGCUCCUUAAAUUGUGCUAGCCUCACCCUUUGGAGUUUAAUUCUGAUUACGGGGAUUUUGCUUGUUCCAAGCCCACGUCCAUCUUUGUGAACUCUAAUUCUGAUAACUGGGUCACAUCUGAGCUGGACCUUCAAGUUUGUGUAGGAUGUUUCAAGCAAGAAAAGGCAUUUCAG